GUCUAUGGCCAUGCUACCCUGAACAAACCCAAUCCCGGCUGAUCUCAGAAGCUAAGCAGGGCGAGGCCUGGUUAUUACUUGGAUGUGAGACCACCUAGAAAGACCAGGUGCUAUAGGCA
rnacentral:rRNA from 1 species